GAACCAAGAAAUUGUUGUUAUUUAUUCUUUUUUUUAAAAACAAUAUAACACCAGCUUUGUUGAACCUCUUACAUUAUAAACAGAGCUAUUUACAGGGGCCUUCUCCUUCCCUUUGUGGUGAGGGGCUGGGGAGAGGGCUCCAGCUCCCUCCCCUUGGGGGCACGGAAAUGCCUGAGCCUUGCCAAGCAGCAAGGGCUGCUGUGCUCUGCACCUUAGUUCACAUGAUGAUUGGAGGCUCAGGCACUGAUUCGCCAAUGGACUUGUGAGGCAGUACACUGGCCCAUUGAAGUAGAGCUCAUCACUUACAACGACAUCCUCUCCCAGCACUGUCACGUUCUCCAUGCGCACCCACUGGCCCCCAUGGGAGCUCCAGCCACAAUGCAGGAAUCAAGCCAUGAGUGAGAACGGAUAUGGGCACCUCGCAGCACUGUGCAUCGCUUGAUACACACGCAAUCGUCUACCACCACACCAGGGCCCAGGCUGACGUUGGGCAGAUGCUACAGUUCUGGCCAAUCCUGGUGCUUGGAUCCACUAGCACGUUGCCCACAAUGCCCUGGCCAAAGUAGAGCCACUCAAGCUGCGUCUGCCUCAGUGACUGCAGGAAGAGGCAUAUCCCGGUCAGGAAGUCCUUGUGCUGCCCGAUGUCCAUUCAGAAGCCUGGGAGUUCCAUGGCUGUUAUUUAUUCUUCACACUCAAACAGAACCAAUGACAUCAUGUUGCUAGGGUCUACAGUGUGCUCGCCAGUGGCUGAUCACUCCAAUAUGAGCUUGGAAGGCUCUACCAAAGGGAGCCAGACGAGGAAAAGCUAAGGAGAAAGAAAGGGAACAAUCAGAGAAGUAGAAGGGGAAUGAAGAGACUUCAAUGACAUGGAAUACAAAGAUGGAGACUAUCAAUGAAGAGAGAGUGGUCACCAAUGUUAGGGAGAAUGAAAACCCAACAAAGGAUAUGACAAUAAGACUACUAAUUAUUUUGGAGAGGGCUAAAAAUGGAAACCAUAUUGCAAAGGGUUAACAAGUUAGUGGUAGCUGAGGAAUUGUAAGUAAUAGAAUGAGAAUAGUGUAAGAUUUUUAUGGUAAAG
rnacentral:lncRNA from 1 species